UACGUAGGUGGCAAGCGUUAUCCGGAUUUAUUGGGCGUAAAGGGAACGCAGGCGGUCUUUUAAGUCUGAUGUGAAAGCCUUCGGCUUAACCGGAGUAGUGCAUUGGAAACUGGGAGACUUGAGUGCAGAAGAGGAGAGUGGAACUCCAUGUGUAGCGGUGAAAUGCGUAGAUAUAUGGAAGAACACCAGAGGCGAAAGCGGUUCUCUGGUCUGUAACUGACGCUGAGGUUCGAAAGCGUGGGUAGCAAACAGG
rnacentral:rRNA from 1 species